UUUUAUAAAUUUACAACAUUGAAUUGAUUUUUGUAUUUUAUUAAAUCUAAUGUUUUAUAGUGUCGAAAUGAAUGCUGAAAACUGUUGAUGAGUAUUUAUGACCCGUCAAUUGAAAAUGAAUACACCUAAAUAGAUAAUAGAUUAUAAUUUUAUAAGCGUAUUAAACUCACAUUAGUUUAAACUAUUUACAUUAAAAUAUUAAAUGUGUUGAUGUUGGUUAUUUUUAACUACAUAUUGUCGGAUUCAGUGGCGCCGAGCCCUAUGCAUAGGUCAGGCUGAGGAUCAGAGAGGUUGGUCUAUGGUUCGCACUUAACAAACGAUAAAUAGUGAAUUAUAACAUAACACAUAAUAUAUUUUGCGGAACGGUACUAUACGAUAUCUGUCGGUACGUGUCUGACUAUUACAGUAUAAAUCAUGCUUAAUAUUUGUAAUUUGAGAGCAAAAAUUAUUUUUCUAUGUAAAGUAAAAAUGUAGGCUUGUGGCCGCUGGGGUGUUGAGGCCGUUGUAUUUUUAUUUGGCCUGAAAACAAUUUUGAAAGUUCGACACCGCUGGUCGGAUGCGUUUUAUGACUCCGACAUAACCAAUCAUUUUAUGUGAACAUUUUUUGUAUUUAAUGCAUUUUGUGUACAGUUUAAAAAUACUAAAUCCUAAAAAACAAAUUCAUUAAGGCAUUAUUCUUCAGACUACUUAGGAUUCUGAGUUUAUAACUCUCACAUAAUUUUGGAUUUGAUGGUUUGUACGGAAAAUAAAAAUACACAACUCAACUAAAUUGCAGCUCGAAAGUUCGAAUACAUUAUCAGCUUUUAAAUUAACAUUUUUAAAAUAAUAUUUGUUGUACCAGUGGCAUAUUUUUGAGAGGGAGUCGGAAGAAGGUUCGUCAUAAAUGACUUACUACGAAGAUAAAGACAAAGAUAACAUUAAUUUAUACCAUGUGAUUGUAAU